GGAGCUGAGGCUCAGUGGUAGAGUAUUUGCCUUGUAUUCAAAAGGCCCUAAGUUCCAUUCCUCGGUACCA
rnacentral:tRNA from 1 species